GUGCGCAGGGUGAGUGACGUGCGUGGAAUAUGCUUGUACCCAUCCCAUUUUCAUUUUUGUUUCGUUAUUCCCUAGUGCAGGUUCGUCAAUGACAUAAGGCGUGCCUGUUUCAGCAUCGAAAAAUCCUCAGCGAGGGUCAGAAAUGUUAAUGAGGAACAUCUCAGAGAGCAUCCGGUAACCCUGCAUACUCCUCUAAUACACAGCCGGAAAUUCUUAUGGUCCUGGCAUUGCUGAACGUAUGACGGACAUGGAGACGCAGUCUUCAGAUGUUCAUCCAUGCAAACUGGCGGGUUCUUCUCGUGGUGGCACAGGGAGCCAUGGAAUCUGCUGGGCAGCGCUGAGUGCGAUCUCCGUACUCGCCACAGACCCGGAUCUCCGCACGGGUGAGUUCACAAGAACCUGCUCAUCCCAGAGGUGCAAAAAUUUCCAGGACUCAGGGUUUGCUGUUUGCGGGAAAGAAGACAGAUCAACACCCGGCCAUUCAGUCGAAGUGUGAACUCUUCCGACUGGGGUGGAACAACAGCAAAAACGCCUAAGAAAUGCUCACUGCGCCACCAACCAGGCCCACAGUGGCAUUGCUGGCUGUUGCUGGGUAGGAAGCUGUGUUCUUCCUGAGCUGUGCCGAGCCUCCGGAGCCCCCAGAAUGCACCGGGGGAAAAGCUGAAAGAGAGAAGCGAAAGAAAAUGAGUGUAAAGCUCAACGCUAAACUACGCUACCCUGAGGGAAAGGAAGAUGACGCAUCAGAAGGUAAAAGAAGCUGCUAAGUGUUUUAUUAACAAUUCAGACACAUACAAUCCACCGUGUGCAUUUAAAUUUGAUGUCUGGCGAGAUAAUUGAGUUUCCCCUAAAAAUGUGGAGCACAAAUGUUUUCCCCCGCACACCUCGUUAUUCACACCCCCCACCACCACAACCACCAAUACGUGUCGUGCACUAUUCUCGGGUGGUUCUAGAAAUUUCCAUGUCUCAUUCACUCCCUUUUCCGGAUCCAUGCUGAUUGCAUGCAUAUGCAUGAUCACAAAUUAAGCCCCUUGCUAGCGACGGAAAGUGAAUAAUAAAGGAAAAACACGCAUAAACUCCACUCCCUUCAUAACGUAAUAUUUGUAGUAAUGAGUAUGUGACUCACGAUAUUCAACAUUUGGUCAGCAGAACAGGAAGCUAGUGUAAUGCAUGAGAGAAAAAUGAGGAGUUCAACGAACCAUCACGACCACAUGAUCGCCGCUUAUGGCCUCAUUGCCUAAUUUAUUCCCUAAUAAUAUCUUUUCUUUGCAAUAGGGAAAAAAGAUUGCAUUCAUUCAUAUGCAUGUACGUGUCUGAACAAUUUUAUUAUCUUUGGUCUUUAUUUCAGCCAGCCUGCUUUGAAUCUUUGUUUCUUUGCCAAAGUCCACUUGCCAUUUCCUGUAAAUGACUUUGCUGAGACCCAUAGGUAUGGAGUGUGAAAUUGGCCCUAUUAUAGUGCUCUAGGUUUUAUCUAUGAAAAUAUAAUUCUCUCUGCUCAGCAAUUAUGUUGAUAAUUAGUCAAUUUCGUGUUACAAGCCUCACUAGGAUUAUUGAACAGAGGACAUAUGACUGUAUUGAGAUCAAUUGUCUAUCAAUUUCUGUUUCCAGGCAUAUUAUUAUUAUUAUUAUAUUCUGAAACAAGGUAGAAUAUGGAAUUCUUCCAUCCUCAUGUUUAGGAAUUAGUCACCCUGCAGAAUCCUGGUGUUCAGAGGAAGCAGGGGCAGCUGUGAAGGCUUUCCUGAUAGGAUAUCUUCUGCAGAUCCAACAGCGUGUUCUGGGAGUUUUUCAAAGGCGAUUUCUCACAAAGGGACAAUGAGUCAAAGCAACAAGACUUGCCUUUGCGUUGAGUGACCUAAUUUUUAGCUUGCAGAAAAUAGAACAUAAAAGUACUUUCUCUUCCUACUGCAAGAUGGCAUAUGAAGCCCCCACCCCGCCCCCGACUGGCUCUUCGUGACACCAGCAGACGCAUGUCUUCAGUGAGGGACCUGCCACUUAAACAGGUUUCUCAUGCAAAUGACCCAAGGGAAGAGAAUGAAUCAAAAUAAGAUUUGCCGUGGAAUCAGUUGAUGCUGGUUGCAGUAAGGAUC